rnacentral:rRNA from 1 species
AGCCUGAUGCAGCGACGCCGCGUGAGGGAUGGAGGCCUUCGGGUUGUAAACCUCUUUCGCCAGUGAAGCAGGCCUGCUCCUUGUGGGUGGGUUGACGGUAGCUGGAUAAGAAGCGCCGGCUAACUACGUGCCAGCAGCCGCGGUAAUACGUAGGGCGCGAGCGUUGUCCGGAAUUAUUGGGCGUAAAGAGCUCGUAGGCGGCUGGUCGCGUCUGUCGUGAAAUCCUCUGACUUAACUGGGGGCUUGCGGUGGGUACGGGCCGGCUUGAGUGCGGUAGGGGAGACUGGAACUCCUGGUGUAGCGGUGGAAUGCGCAGAUAUCAGGAAGAACACCGGUGGCGAAGGCGGGUCUCUGGGCCGUUACUGACGCUGAGGAGCGAAAGCGUGGGGAGCGAACAGGAUUAGAUACCCUGGUAGUCCACGCCGUAAACGUUGGGCACUAGGUGUGGGGGGCCUUUUCCCGGUCUUCCGCGCCGUAGCUAACGCAUUAAGUGCCCGCCUGGGGAGUACGGCCGCAAGGCUAAAACUCAAAGGAAUUGACGGGGGCCCGCACAAGCGGCGGAGCAUGCGGAUUAAUUCGAUGCAACGCGA